rnacentral:tRNA from 1 species
AUGGCGGAAUUGGCAUACGCGUAUGGCUUAGGACCAUAUGGGACAACCCUUGGAGGUUCAAAUCCUCUUCCGCCCA